AUGAUAUUGAUAUUUAGUGUUGCCAACUGCUAUUAUCACUGCUUUAUCUUGGAAAGUUGCCGACUAUAAAGACAGAUUCCAGCCUGCUUGAGUUAAGGGAAAGGCCAAGGCUGCUACUGAAUUAGCAGUUUCUAAAACUGUCUUGUUUUUGCCAUUUACCAUAUGUUCACUGGUGCUGCCUUCCUGCUGUAGUAUAAUCAUUUUCUCAAAUCAGUUGCCUCUCAGGACAAGAUCAGCAUUUUCCUAGGGUCCUUCUGUAGCACCACUUAAGGAAUGAACCUAUCACAGGAACUCCCUUUGAAUAAAAUGAUGGUGACUCCCA
rnacentral:lncRNA from 1 species